AGUGAACGCUGGCGGUAGGCCUAACACAUGCAAGUCGAACGGCAGCACAGUAAGAGCUUGCUCUUACGGGUGGCGAGUGGCGGACGGGUGAGGAAUACAUCGGAAUCUACUUUUUCGUGGGGGAUAACGUAGGGAAACUUACGCUAAUACCGCAUACGACCUCCGGGUGAAAGCAGGGGAUCUUCGGACCUUGCGCGAUUGAAUGAGCCGAUGUCGGAUUAGCUAGUUGGCAGGGUAAAGGCCCACCAAGGCGACGAUCCGUAGCUGGUCUGAGAGGAUGAUCAGCCACACUGGAACUGAGACACGGUCCAGACUCCUACGGGAGGCAGCAGUGGGGAAUAUUGGACAAUGGGCGCAAGCCUGAUCCAGCCAUACCGCGUGGGUGAAGAAGGCCUUCGGGUUGUAAAGCCCUUUUGUUGGGAAAGAAAAGCAGCAGGUUAAUACCCCGCUGUUCUGACGGUACCCAAAGAAUAAGCACCGGCUAACUUCGUG
rnacentral:rRNA from 1 species